CUUGCUGACUGACUAACUUAGCUGGUGUCAAGUCAGCUAACAUUAUCAUCGGGCCUGCUACUUAGCUAGUGUUAGCUAGUAUAUCCCUGAGGAAGUUUCCUUAUAUAUGCUAACAGUAGCUCAUGUCAAACGACGGUAGCAUUUUAAAACCAAGACGCCAGCUAACGUUAAAUAAACUGAACUGAUAACACAGCUAACUAAUGUGCUUCAUGUAAUGUGUCCAGCUAAUAGCAUUUUUCACAUGACAAUGGCAUGUUUUACUCGUCUGACCAGCUAGCUAGCAGGCAGUUGCUAGCAUAAAGACCUGUCAUCCACGGAACUCGAGUCUCAUAGUUAGCGUCUCAGCGCUUACAGAGCCGGUAAAGACUUACAGGAAAGGCUCGUAUCCUCAUCUUGGUGUCCUUCUUGGUGCCGCCUUUGAGGUUGGACAUGAUUAGUUAGAACGACUUUCGUAUCUAAGUUGACUUAAAGACUACAUGAAAGGCAUCUGCUAGUUUGCUUUCUACGCCAGGAAAGCGGCAGGGAAACUCAAUGACCUCCCCUUUGGGAAUUAGGUCGCUCUGUUAUGUUGUUGUCACUCGCUCUCUUCUCAGUGGUUUUUUGGCUAAUGUUAGCUUGUAUGCAGUGAUGGCGGACGACUGUACUCCACUGCGCAACGCUGAAAUCUCGCGAGAGAACACUGACAGUCCUCCGCUCACUUUUGGCAGUGUUCAACUGCCAGUUUCGAUGACUGGGCAACGGCUGGAAGACUGAAUAUCUUCUGACUGUCAUGACGACGCUCUCUGAAUGAGAGAAAGGAAAAAACAACAACAAAUAGAUUCGCUCCAGCUAUCCUCCUCAGGCCAAUGUUCUCCAGCUCCAGCUUUCUGAUUUCGGACCGCAUUGCUCUGAUCACCUGGAUAAGCCUCUGUUCGCUCUCCAUGGUGCUAACAUAUUUCCGCCCUGUCUGCAUCUCUCACAAUGGCAUCCAACCCACCGUACGACCCCAUCUGACCUGUAAACAUGCCAUCUCUAUUUAUAGGUGUAAACUAGUCACACCAGUCUACACAGAUGUCCUUUUUCAUUCAGAGUUCAUUUCAAAGCCCAAUAUUUGGCCAACAGAGAAAUGAGGAGCCACUCAAGAGCAGCAGUCUGUCAGCAGACCAUUGACAGUCUCGUCACAUGAUGGGGAGAGUGUUAUUUUCUUCUUAGUGAUCUGAUGCCUACCACUUUCCCUCCUCCUGUUAAAUAUUCAUCUACUCUGUCAACGUAAAGCAACAAUAGGUCCUUGGGAGAGGGAUGGCCUUGGGUCUAGCAGUCUGUAUCAAGGUGAUAGGGUGAACUGCUUCUCCUUCAAACUACUUCUCACUGUGGCUGAAAUGCAUAAAGAUGGACAAGACAUUAUUUACAUUUGUCUAACAUCUAUUUGUUUUGUAUCUAAACCUUCAGUUUCUUCUUUCUGCCCCAAAUUUGUUUAGUAUAUGAAGUAUAUCAAAAUAGACCUGUCAAUUUACACCCAGAUAUCCUCUUUAUGAUUAGGGCUCAUGCAGACUGCAUUCACACAAAUUUAAUUACUGCACGCACACAGUUAAACUCAUGAAUGAAUAACAAGAUGACUGCUAUGUGUGUUUAUGUGUGUGUAUAUUUAAUGUGUGAGGCUUUAAAAUAAAAACACCUGUGCACUGUAUGUACAGUAUCCAGAGGAGAGAAUAGGA